UAGGUUGAAGCCAGUUGUGUAUGGUAUUUAGCUGUUAACUAAAACUUUGUGGGGUUGGAGCCCACCAACCUAG
rnacentral:tRNA from 2 species